rnacentral:rRNA from 1 species
UUAUGUGAUCGUCUCUCGCAUAUCAAUAAGCGGAGGAAAAGAAACUAACAAGGAUUCCCCUAGUAACGGCGAGUGAAGCGGGAAGAGCUCAAAUUUGAAAUCUUAAAGGGUUUCCCUUUACGAAUUGUAGUUUAAAGAAGUGUUUUCUGUUGAGGUUUUGGUAAAAGUUCUUUGGAAUAGGACAUCAUAGAGGGUGAGAAUCCCGUAUUUGACCUUUACUUUCAACUUUGUGAUACACUUUCAAAGAGUUGGAUUGUUUGGGAAUGCAGUCCAAAAUGGGUGGUAAAUUUCAUCUAAAGCUAAAUAUUGGCGAGAGACCGAUAGCGAACAAGUACCGUGAGGGAAAGAUGAAAAGAACUUUGAAAAGAGAGUUAAACAGUACGUGAAAUUGUCAAAAGGGAAGCGUUUGACACCAGUGUUGUUUUUCUGAAAAUCAAUUAAAGAACUGUUUAUGCUAAGCUGUUUAGACUUUAUCAGCUAUCUGUUUAGUUUUGAGCUUUUCUUUAAUGCACUUUUCAGUUAACAAGUCAUCAUCAAUUUCUUUUGCUGUAAAAAAGCUUGAGGAAGGUGGCUUGAGAUUCGUCUUAAGUGUUUAUAGCCUCUUGCCUAUGCAGUCGGAGAGAUUGAGGUCUGCAGCGUAGAUCCUUCGGGGCUAAAUGCAUUUGUGCUAAGUUAUAGCAUUUUAUAGACAACUUGUUGACUAUGAUUUGUCUUGUAGCUUACUCGCUUAUGUCAUUUUACCUACGCUUAGGAUGUUGAGUAGCGACAUACGCAC